GAUGAAGAACGUAGCGAACGUGCGAAACGUAAUGUGAAUUGCAGAAUUCAGUGAAUCAUCGAAUCUUUGAACGCAUCUUGCGCUCCUUGGUAUUCCGAGGAGCAUGCCUGUUUGAGUGUCGUGAAUACUCUCAACUUCAACCCUUUUUUCGGAAAGGGAGGAAGGUUGGACUUGGGUGUUUGUUGAAGUGCGAGCUACGACUCAUCCUAAAUGCAUUAGCGAUCUGCCUCGAUCACACACAAUGUGAUAAUUAAAACUAAAGCAUUGUUUAAUGAUCAAGUCGAGACUGCUUCUAACUGUCGCAAGACAAUAACGUGCAUACAUUUGUGCAUGUCAUUUGACCUCAAAUCAGGUAGGACUACCCGCUGAACUUAAGCAUAUCAAUAAGCGGAGGA
rnacentral:misc_RNA from 1 species